rnacentral:piRNA from 1 species
UAUGUGUUUUGUCAAAUUGUC